rnacentral:rRNA from 1 species
UAGAACGCUGAAGAGAGGAGCUUGCUCUUCUUGGAUGAGUUGCGAACGGGUGAGUAACGCGUAGGUAACCUGCCUUGUAGCGGGGGAUAACUAUUGGAAACGAUAGCUAAUACCGCAUAACAAUGGAUGACCCAUGUCAUUUAUUUGAAAGGGGCAAAUGCUCCACUACAAGAUGGACCUGCGUUGUAUUAGCUAGUAGGUGAGGUAACGGCUCACCUAGGCGACGAUACAUAGCCGACCUGAGAGGGUGAUCGGCCACACUGGGACUGAGACACGGCCCAGACUCCUACGGGAGGCAGCAGUAGGGAAUCUUCGGCAAUGGGGGCAACCCUGACCGAGCAACGCCGCGUGAGUGAAGAAGGUUUUCGGAUCGUAAAGCUCUGUUGUAAGUCAAGAACGAGUGUGAGAGUGGAAAGUUCACACUGUGACGGUAGCUUACCAGAAAGGGACGGCUAACUACGUGCCAGCAGCCGCGGUAAUACGUAGGUCCCGAGCGUUGUCCGGAUUUAUUGGGCGUAAAGCGAGCGCAGGCGGUUUGAUAAGUCUGAAGUUAAAGGCUGUGGCUCAACCAUAGUUCGCUUUGGAAACUGUCAAACUUGAGUGCAGAAGGGGAGAGUGGAAUUCCAUGUGUAGCGGUGAAAUGCGUAGAUAUAUGGAGGAACACCGGUGGCGAAAGCGGCUCUCUGGUCUGUAACUGACGCUGAGGCUCGAAAGCGUGGGGAGCGAACAGGAUUAGAUACCCUGGUAGUCCACGCCGUAAACGAUGAGUGCUAGGUGUUGGAUCCUUUCCGGGAUUCAGUGCCGCAGCUAACGCAUUAAGCACUCCGCCUGGGGAGUACGACCGC